GGCGUCUAGCAGGCUUGUACGGGCUGCAUUACGAUCCUCCGGUGGCUCCUCCUCGUGAGGUGUCGGCGGAGCUUUCGGUGUAUCUCGUCUUGUGAUGGGAAGACGUGUGAGUGGCGACUAGGAUAUGCUUCCCAUGCAGGCUCCGUGUAUCUCGCAUCGAACUGCUUGGGUCUAUCCAUUUCAUUCGUUGUUUCGCCCCGGCAUUUUCGUGGUCGGAUGCGACGACUCGUUGGGUUCCUGUGCUCCAUACCGAAAUCGGUAGUCGGAUGGAUCUUUGUUCCCCGUCGUGGUUUACUUGCUCCCCGCAGCCUUGUGCGGCGGCGGAGGAUAUUGUGCGGGCAUCGACGUUUCCCUUACGAGCCGCUGCCCCCCCUUGUUGGGUGCUCCGGCUCGUGAGGGCGCGUAAGCUGCAGUCGGCGCUCUCGGGUACGGAGAAUUUAUGGCUUAUCGCAUCGGCCAUCGACCCUUGCGAACGUAAUGUAUCGAAGCUUCCCUCGCUUCCGAUUGAAUGACCGUCGUUCUCGUUCGAGAGCUCACCGAUCCUCUUCGUUCGGUGUUCUUCUCGGGGAGCUAUCGAGGUCUACGAAGGAAUGCUACCUGGUUGAUC
rnacentral:misc_RNA from 1 species